rnacentral:rRNA from 1 species
GAUUAACGCUGGCGGCGUGCAUAACACAUGCAAGUCGAACGAAGUGGCGGACGGGUGAGUAACGCGUGAGUAACCUGCCUUAGAGAAGGGGAUAGCCUUUGGAAAAGAAGAAUAAUACCCUAUGCUCUAAGAUGGACUUGCGUCUGAUUAGUUAGUUGGUGGGGUAACGGCUCACUACGACAGCGAUCAGUAGCUGGCUUGGGGGGGUGUACGGCCACAUUGGGAAUGAGACACGGUCCAGACUCUACGGGAGGCAGCAGUGGGGAAGUUUGCACAAUGGGUGAAAGCCUGAUGCAGCGAGGCCGCGUGAUUUAGAAGGCCUGCGGGUUGUAAAAAUCUUUUCUAUGGGAAGCGGUACCAAAGGAAUAAGGACCGGCUAAUUACGUGCCAGCAGCCGCGGUAAUUC